AAAGAAUUGCUGCCUCAUAGUAACUUUAUCUGCUUUGGGCUUGUGGUUUAUAACUUGAACUAUGAACAAAAAUGUCAUCUUCCAUCUCAAUUGUAUAUCCUACAGUAUGAAUGUAUUUUUAGCAUAAACUUAGAAUUGUAUUAUUAACAUAAACUUCUCAAGAUGAUUUAAAUUUUUAUAAAAAGAUAGCAUUGUGUAGAAAAAGCACUGGUUAAAGAAUUAUGGGGUGUCAGUUUACGCAUCAGUUUUGUUUUCAUCUUGAUAGGUUUUCUUGAUCCAAUCCCUAAACAUUUCUGAGCCUCAUUAGAAUGAGGCUUAAAUGGUUGCUAAGAGCCUUUCAAAUUCUAUGAAAUCUUUAAUUUGCAAUUCAGACAUUGUAUUUUUCUCUUCUAUAAUAACAAAUUCUGAUUAAGUUUGUACUACAGACACGCGCGCACACACACACACACACACACACACACACACACAGCCAUACACUAAUGUUUACCUUAUAAAGUAUUUGGAAUUUGUUUGUUUAUAGAGACUGAUGUAGAACACUUGAUAUAUACUGCUGAAAGAGAAAGAAUAAUUGAUGAAAUCAACACACAACUUAAAAGUCACUCUGAAUUACCUUAUGAGUACAUCUCACCCCAUGUGACUGAACCUCCAAAAGCAUAUCAUAGAACAUCUAGGAUUGGGUCAUCCAAUUAUAAAGCCAUCCAUCUUCGUUCACUGAAUAAAGAAACUUCAGGUAAUGUAUAAUGUGAUUUUUUUUAAUUAGUAAAGCUUUAAUUAUAUGGAAACAAUCACAUCAUACUAGCUAUAGUUAUAUAACCAGUUUAGCAAAACAUAGAUGAAAGUAAACACUGAUUAAACUUAUCUAACAUAUAUGCAUUCUUAGUGAAUGAGUAGUAUCCCUGGUAUAGCUCUUCUUCCCUGCCACCACUAAAUUGGAGCUCCGCAUUUUUUCUCAACCUUACUUUCUUUUUUUUAUUUUAAGAUUUAUUUAUUUACAAGAAAGAGAAAGAAAGAGAGCACACAUGUGAGUAGGCAGAGGGAAGGAAUCUCAAGCAGACUCCCUACUGAGCAUGGAGCCCCAUGCAGGGCUCAAUCUCAGGGCCUGAGAUGGUGACCUGAACCAAAUUCUUAACUGACAGAGCUACCCAGGUGCCCCACUCAACCUUCUAUUCUUGCUCACUACUAUAGAUCCUGCAGGUAGCUGAGAUAAUCCAUUUUAUAAUCUUCUUUUUUAGAUUUAUAUAUUCCCCUUUUGUCCAAUCCCAGGUAAGGAUCUGCAAUACAGAAACUCAACAUGAGGUAGAUUGGAAAGAAAAUAAACAUUGUUUUCCCUUUCUCUUCA
rnacentral:lncRNA from 12 species